rnacentral:rRNA from 1 species
GAGUUUGAUCGUGGCUCAGGAUGAACGCUGGCGGCGUGCCUAAUACAUGCAAGUCGAACGAACAGAUAAGGAGCUUGCUCCUUUGACGUUAGCGGCGGACGGGUGAGUAACACGUGGGUAACCUACCUAUAAGACUGGGAAUAACUCCGGGAAACCGGGGCUAAUGCCGGAUAACAUGUUGAACCGCAUGGUUCUACAGUGAAAGACGGUCUUGCUGUCACUUAUAGAUGGACCCGCGCCGUAUUAGCUAGUUGGUGGGGUAACGGCCUACCAAGGCGACGAUACGUAGCCGACCUGAGAGGGUGAUCGGCCACACUGGAACUGAGACACGGUCCAGACUCCUACGGGAGGCAGCAGUAGGGAAUCUUCCGCAAUGGGCGAAAGCCUGACGGAGCAACGCCGCGUGAGUGAUGAAGGUCUUCGGAUCGUAAAGCUCUGUUGUUAGGGAAGAACAAAUGUGUAAGUAACUGUGCAUAUCUUGACGGUACCUAACCAGAAAGCCACGGCUAACUACGUGCCAGCAGCCGCCG